UUUUAAACCUAUGUUGAAGCAUAAUAAUGGAAAAGAAAAAGGAAAUUUAAUAAUGUAAUCAUUAUCUCUAUAACUUACUGCACCUCCACUAACCGCUAAUGGAGGCCCGUCUAACUAACUGGUUCUUUGGCCCAACCCUUCAAUUGUCCUCCAUUUUCCGCCAUUCUGUCUUCAUUGCUUGGAGGAGAUGAGGACGUCGCAAUUUGGGAAACAGAAAUGCAUCAAUCCAUCAUAUUUACUUAAAUAUUAUGGACUCCUCUGCUCUGUGACUGCCUUCCAUCUAGUUCCAUCUAAUUUUAACAAGUAGAUCAUAUGGUGUUUUAUGGAAUCACAAAGAAGAACCUGGUGGAGAUCACACGACACCGGAAGCAGUUCCCCCAGCCAGUCCUCCCUGCUCAUCCUGCACUACGCAUCUGUAAGGUAACUUGCCGGCAGAUCUUUCAGAGACAAAAGUCCAAGAAAGCACCAGGCAUGCUGCCUCAUCCCAGCUGAGAAACUUCACCCUGCCACAGAGGCGUACAGCAGCAGUUACAAUCCUGUGUGGACAGGCCACCAAAUAGGACAAGGGCAGACUACAGCGGCAAAUCAGGACAGCCCAUGCACGUUCGGGCCUUGUGCACCUUUUGAAUUAAGAAAGGGGCAGAGAAAAUCAUCAUAAGCCCCCAUAUCCAGGCCACAAUUUAAGUUCUCCCUCUCUCCCUGUUCCUGUCCUACAGACCACCUUACAGCAAAGCAAGCAGUUUGUUCUCACAGGUCAUCAAAAUCAUCAGCAGGUAACUCAGCAAUGUCAAGUCUCAACUUAGAUACUGUUUUCAAAAAACCUGCUGUUACUGUAAAAUUACCACUAUAUGUUGUUCUAGUUUGUGCAACAGCUGUACUUAUGGUCACUUGUACAUAAAAUGCAUUUACUGUUCAAAUGUAAAAUCACUUUCACAUACAAUAUAUGCUGCAUGUCUGUUAAUGUCAUCCUAAGUUACUUUUGGCACUGCAUGUAAAUAAACAGCAAAGACAGCUAAAGAUAAAUUGCUCAUAUGAGUGAACAAACUUUAUUCUGUUUUUUUUUUUUCUAUUUAUUAAGUAAAGUGUAAACACACCCCAAAACACAGCUUUCUUUAAUCCUUGAUAUUUCCCUGAGGGAACAACAAAAGAUUUGUCACAGACACACACAAUGGAAGGAGUCAAGUCAAGUUUUGAGGCCCUAGCCUCUUGAUUAAAUAGUACAGAUUUUCCUUAUAAGAGAAAAGUUUGAGGUUUUCUGCCUCAGUUUUAACGCAGUCACUGUUUUUUAGAGCAAGCCUCGAACUGUCAUUAGCUGAUCUGCAUCUUAAGGCACUCAUACAUUGGCUCCAGCACUCAACUGUGGUGGUUGAGUCUUGGGCUAUACAUACUGUACAGCUAUAACAGGCAGGAAUCGCUAGAAAGAUCUAGCUCUGGUGAGCAAAGAUGGCCACGACAUUAGUCACAGCUGUGAAGAGUGUGACAUCAGCAGCAGCUGUGGUGGAUAUGGCCUCAGCUGUUACAAGUGUGAAUGCUGAUGCCACUGUCAUACUCAAGGAUUUGAGUGUUUAUGAUCGGGAUGUGCACUUUGUAGACAACUUGAUUGGGAGAUGUGUAAAACUGACAAUAGGCUGAUUUAGAAAUUCAUACUUUAAUGCAUGAUUAAAUAGAUAUUGUGCUGUUAAUAGUUUACUUUUUUAUAUAUACAUAUGGCAAAGUGGUCUCAGAGUUUUGGCCCCACUGUAUAUCAUCUCAUAUAUAUCUCCAUCUGCUCAGAGUUAGCUAGAAUUUGCAGAUUGUUGGACAGUGUGUAUGUGUGUGAAUAAAGGGUGGAUUAUCAAUCUGCUUUAUAUUUGAAAGUAAUUAGAAUUCUUCAUUUCUCUUUGAAGCCCUGCAGAAAGACGCAGGGUGGUGGUGGUGGGGGUGACAGGUUAAUUGAGGAAUAAUACCCUUCAGAAUGAUGGAUUUUGGUGACUUGAGAUGUCAGAAUCCAUUAUAGGAAAUUUAAAUUUGCAAUUAAAGUGGGAGGUUGGGUACAGAAUUCGUUCAUUUUAAUUCCCCCUUGCCUCCUCCCUUGUUAUUAUUAAUGUUCUGCAUUAAAUGUCCAGGCCCUCUGUUCCCUGCUUUGGCACUCACCCACCAUCCAACACAGUUUGCCAAAAUGGGGCUUAAUUAAUGAACUCAUAUAUACAGUAAAUCAAACAGCUUUUUCAGAAUAGGGAUUCUGGACUAGGGGGACAUUUCAUGAAGUAAUUGAAAAUAUGCAUCUCGUCAUGUUAAGAAAAAGAACUGAAAAGGCCUUCAAGCUUCAACAAAUUUAGCCUCAGAUUUGUGAUUACUGCAUACAUUUUUUUUUAACUUGUGUUUUGAGAACUUUUUGAAAUGUGAUAUUCAAUCUUUGUCCAGUCAGACCAGCUUAUCUUUGCCUGUUGGGCUGCAUGUGUUCACAUUGUCAAGACAGAUUUUACUGGUAAAGAACAUAGACUAUAAUGUGAUGCCAAUAAGCAGUUGAAUAUUUGUGAUGAUACUUCUGCGACAUCUUAACCUGUUUUUUUACAUAGCUCAUACUAGAGGAAUUUUGAGCCUUAAGUCGUGUAUGUCAACACUUGUGUCAAUAAAUUUGU